rnacentral:rRNA from 1 species
AAAGGCCCUUCGGGGUACUCGAGCGGCGAACGGGUGAGUAACACGUGAGUAACCUGCCCUAGGCUUUGGGAUAACCCUCGGAAACGGGGGCUAAUACCGGAUAUUCAUUCUCGGCGGCAUCGUCGGGUGUGGAAAGUUUUUUCGGCCUGGAAUGGGUUCGCGGCCUAUCACCUUGUUGGGGGGGUGAUGGCCUACCAAGGNGACAACGGGUAGCCGGCCGGAAAGGGCGACCGGCCCCCCUGGGACUGAAACCCGGCCCAAACUCCUACGGGAGGCAGCAGGGGGGAAUAUUGCACAAGGGGCGGAAGCCGGAUGCACCGACGCCGCGUGAGGAAUGAAGGCCUUCGGGUUGUAAACCUCUUUCGACAGGAACAAACCGCAAGUGACGGUCCCUGGAAAAAAAGCGCCGGCCAACUACUUGCCACCAGCCGCGUUAAAACGUAGGGCGCGAGCGUUGUCCGGAUUUAUUGGCCGAAAAGAGCUCGUAGGCGGCUUGUUGCGUCANCUGUGAAAACCC